rnacentral:lncRNA from 1 species
CCAAACCCAAUACCCCUAAAACCCUAGGAAGAUUACUUAAUAAGGACCCAUGGACCUAAGAGUAAAUGAGCUGAAAAUACACAAAAAAUACACACUAAGAUAUAACCUAGACCAAUAGACACCCCUAAAAUCCGCCAUCACACCCCAUCAGAUUGGAGGUCCAUCAUUUUCUUCAGCCGUUCAACACACAUAGAUGCCCAUCGUCACUUUGAAUCUCUAUCCUAAAGAAAGCCACCAAGGACCUGUACCUUUUUCUCCACCCUUAGAGCACCCUUCACUAACACGACAACAACAGCCGCAGCUGCUCACCCCAACUCCAUCUCCAGUCAGUCGCAACACCAACCAGCACACCACAAAUAGCCAGUCAUCUCCUUCAACCCUGAACACACUCAGACCUAAGAGAAGACAUCCGUUUCUAUCACCUUCUCCAUGAAGACCAACCACAAAACCAGCCGUUGCUCCACGACCUCACACCAAACGACCCUCAUCUCCUAACUCACUCUCAACCAGAUCAAACGCCGAUCUCCUGCCCUUCCAACGACCCUUCCUUUCCAAAACACAGCAGAACCACCAGUCCGCCAGAAACUAGCCAGCUAUUCUUCUCGAAAAAAAAAAUCGCGCGCACACACGCAAAAUAGUUUUAAGCUGAGGUUGGUUUGAGGUCUUCACCAUCCAUUCGAGGUUCCGUCGCUGGUUCGGAGUUCCGAUCAGUGGCCUUCUGUUGUUACUUUGUAUUUUCGUUCGAGGUUUGUCCGGUCCGCGUUUUAAAUUUCAAAAGUCGGAACAGAAGGUAAUUGGUUGAUUUGAUCUGGAUCUUGGAUUUAAUAUUAUCGUUUCUUUGCUCAGGAUGCCUUAGCAGUAUUUGGUUGCUGUGUUUUGUUCUUUUGUUAUUGUUGGUCUGUUUUUGCUCAAUUUAUAUUAAGAUGGAAUUCUGGUUGAUUUGUGUUUUAAUAUAGGAUUCUGGUUGAUUUGUGUUUCAAUAUGGAGUUUUGGUUGAUUUGUGUCGGCCUAACUGUGUGCAUACGACGUUGCUUCCGUGAAUUAGUGUAUCAAGUGUUUACUGAUGUUUGAUUUAUUAAACAAACAAAUAUGCUGGAUGAUCGAUGAACAUGGGAUUGAAGUAAAACAUAGGUCGUUAGUGUUCUAAAUCUCUUGUUUAGGUAGAUCUUUUUAUUUUGAAUUCAUGCUCUCGUUAAUAUCAUAUAGUUGCCCUCUUUUAUUAACCCACAAAUAAUUUUAUAGUAUUCACAAACACGUAGUAUGCUUUAGGGGUGUUUUGAAUUUUUUAUCAUGAUUAUGUACACGUUCGCGUGACAUGAUUACGUUUUCUAAAAAUGAAUAUCCGUAGCUUUGCUUUAGGCGCGUUUAAUAUAUCGUCGUGAUUGUGGAUACGUUCACAUUACAUAAUUAUGAUUCCUUAAGGAUACAUUGAGGUGUGUCAUCCAUAAUUAAAUCACCUAUGGACUUCACAUUAAUAUUAUAACUUAGGUAUUAAGAAUGAAUAUUCGUAGUUUGCUUUAGGCACAAAUUAAUCUAUCAUCGUGAUUGUGGACACGUUCGCGUGACAUGGUUACGAUUUUAAAAACAAAAUCGAAGAAUGCGUUCGUGCAACUCCGACUAAACAUUCUUAAUAGUAAUAAAGCGUUACUAAUUGUGAAAACGUUCGCGUGAUAUGAUUUUUGACGCGCCAAAUAAAUGGGUACACGUACGCGUGACCUGUUUUAAAGAUAAUUUCUUAAUUAAAAAGGCAAAAGCACACGGGUUCUAAAAGUGAGUAAUUAAACAAUUUGAUUAAGCCAAGUAUGAUCAAAGCAACCGUGCUAAAACCUUGGAACUUGGGAAUGCCUAACACCUUCUCUCGGGUUAACAGCAUUUCUUACCCGGAUUUCUGUGUUCGCAGACCAUAAAUAAGAGCGAACUUCCUCGAUUCGGAAUUUUAACCGGUGACUUGGGACACCAUAAAUUAUCCCAAGUGGCGACUCUGAAUUUAAUAAAUAAUAUCGUUUUGAUUGUCACUUAAAUUGGAAAAAACUCCCUAUACCCCCUUCCGGGGGUAGAAAAAGGAGGUGUGACAGCUCUGACGACUCUGCUGGGGGAGAAGAACCCAGAACUUCUAGUUCAAGGUUCAGAAUUCGAGCUUGUUAAUAUAAUUUUACUUGGAUUUAUUUAUUGUUAAUAUUACUUUGUUUUGUGAACCUUUGUGCUAAUUGUUGUUUAUUUACCGAUUUGAUAUUAUUUGAAUUGUAUAUAACCGUCUUUUUACGCCACCCCUCUGCGUCUUCUAAAAAUGGUGCACACGUUUGCGUGGUCCAUUUUUUCUGUAGAGGUUAUACCAAAUAGAAUGAGGCUGGGCCAACAACAAGGCCGGGUAGACUUUAGUGCUCCCGGUAUGUUGCCCCCUCUUCGGCUCGAGUUAUCCGCUUGGGUAUGUCAGGUCAAGAACACAACCCUAGGUUUAAACUUAGAAUAACAUAACCUCAUGCCGGAUCCCUAGUAGGAAUAUUUAUUUGCAUAACGUGCAUUUGACUUUGGGGACUCAACACAGGGGUUAGGUCCGUCUAGGACAGGUCUACCCAUAACAGACCAUCUUGAUGCAUCCCACGUGCUACAUGUUGCAUUUCUUCAAGGGUAAAAGGGUCAUUUGGUGGACCAAUGAUAGUUGAGGGUAAAUGAAAAAGAAAUAAUAAAGAAAAAAAGAGAAGGUGAAGUGUGAAAAAUAAAGCAAGUAGGGCUCGAUUAUGUUUUCUGGCACAUUUUGUUAAGGAAAAAAAAACAUGAAUAAAUUCUCAAAAAAAAGGAUUUGUACUUUCUCAUCAUUUUCCGAAAAUCAAAAAAUCAAAAAAAAAAAGGAAAAGAAAAUCCAAAAAGAGUUUACAUGUUUCAUCAUUUUUUUUUUAAAAAAAGACAGAAAAACAUAUUUUUACUCUAAAUUACAUGUUGUUUUUUUUAAUUCUCGCCCGUAUCCAAUCUACCCGAUACGCAUAUCUGAUUCUCGUCUUUCGGGGCCUGAUACGUAGGCAACCCACAUAGGGUUCGAUCUUCCUAGUAAUUAAACAAUUUGAUUAAGCCAAGUAUGAUCAAAGCGACCGUGCUAAAAUCAUGGAACUUGGGAAUGUCUAACACCUUCUCCCGGGUUAACAGAAUUCCUUACCCGGAUUUCUGUGUUCGCAGAUCAUAAAUAAGAGUCAACUUCCUCGUUUCGGAAUUUUAACCGGUGACCUAGGACACCAUAAAUUAUACCAAGUGGAGACUCUGAAUUUAAUAAAAUAAUCCAGUUUCGAUUGUCACUUAAAUUGGGAAAAACUCCCUAUACCCCUUUCUGGGGGUAGAAAAAGGAGGUGUGACAGCUCUGGCGACUCUGCUGGGGAGAAGAACCCAGAACUUCUGGUUCAAGGCUCAGAAUUCGAGCUUGUUAAUAUGAUUUUAAUUGGCUUUAUUUAUUGUUAAUAUUAAUGUAUUUUGUGAACUUUUGUGCUAAUUGCUGUCUAUUUACUGUUUUGAUAUUAUUUGAAUUGUAUAUAAUUAUCUUCUUAUGCCACCCCUCUGGGUCUUCUAAAUAUGGUGCACAAGUUCGCGUGGCCCGCUUUUUCUAUAGAAGUUAUACCAAAUAGAACGAGGCUCGGCCAGCAACAAGGCCGGGUNNNNNNNNNNNNNNNNNNNNNNNNNNNNNNNNNNNNNNNNNNNNNNNNNNNNNNNNNNNNNNNNNNNNNNNNNNNNNNNNNNNNNNNNNNNNNNNNNNNNNNNNNNNNNNNNNNNCAAUAACACAACCCUAUGUUUAAACUUAGAUUAACAUAACCUCAUGCCGGAUCCCUAGUAGGAACAUUUGUUUGCAUCAUGUGCAUUUGACUUUGGGGACUCAACACAGGGGUUGGGUCCAUCUAGGACAGGUGUACCCAAAAUAACAGACCAUCUUGAUGCAUCCUACGUGCUACAUGUUGCAUUUCUUCAAGGGUAAAAGGGUCAUUUGACGGACCAAUGAUAGUUGAGAGCAAAUAAAAAAGAAAAAAAGAGAGGGUGAAGUGUGAAAAAUAAAGCAAGAAGGGCUCGAUUAUGUUUUCUGGCACGUUUUGUUAAGGAAAAAAAACAUGAAAAAUUUCUCAAAACAAAAAGGAUUUGCACUUUCUUAUCAUUUUUCGAAAAUCAAAAAAAAAAAACGAAAAAGAAAAUCCAAAAAGAGUUUACAUGUUUCAUCAUUUUUUUCUAAAAAUAGACACAAAAACAUAUUUUUCUCUAAAUUAGAUGUUGUUUUUUUUAAUUCUCGCCCGUAUCCAAUCUACCCGAACUACGCAUACCUGAUUCUCGUCUUUCGGAGAGUGAUACGUAGGCAACCCACAUAGGGUUCGGUCUUCCUAGUAAGUCUUAGGUUUUUGGCUUCGCGGGGUCUUAGCUAAAUCUUGCAUGUUUAGCCACUUUUAGCCACAUAGGUUAAUUUUAGAAAAAUAGUCACAAUCAUGUCUUGCAUGUGUCCAACAGGAACGGUUAUUGUCUCGCAUAGCGUUCUAGGUCUUUAACUUUAUUUUGUCUUAAUUUUCUCAUACAGGUGUGAAUCUACUUACCGGAGUUUGGCAUGACAUACGCCUUAGGACCAUCCAGUCAAGAUCACUCAUUCAGGAAUUUGCUUAAGGAUUUUUUAUGUCAUGUUUUGAGUCUGUUGUCUUUUUAUGUCGUCUUUUACCUUCUAGUUUUGUACAAUAAUGCCAAGUCUUUUAGGUGGUAUUAGAGUAUGUCAUAGGCUAGUUAAGUUUGUUGAGUCUUUUGUUAUUGUAUUUCAUAUUCUGCAUUUGAAAAUAGAUGUGUUAUAAAUCAAAAAUCCAAAAAAAGAGAUUUUACGUUUUAUAUUUAUGUUAGAUGUUUUCUUUAGAAUACUAACUCUAGAAGUUCAAAAAAAAAAUCUUUUGUGGUUUUUCAUAGGAAAUUAAUGUCUAGAACUCAGAAUAAAAAAUUACUUUUAUACUUCCUUUUAGUACAUUAACACUAAAAGAUCAAAAAAAAAGAGAAUUUUCUUGUAAUACUUCUUUAAAAAGUUUUCUUUAAGGUAUUAAUUCCAAAAAUCCAAAAAAGAUUUUCUUUUGAGAUUAUUGUUUGGGAAAUUAAUGAAAAAUGAUUUUGUUUUUAUUUUCAUUAGAACUUUAGGAUAUUGUACAUAGAAGAAAAAAAAUAUACUUUAUCUUUUGUUUAUCUUUAAAGUUUCUUCUUUAGGUAAUCAAAAACUAGAAUCAAAAAUAUUUUUUUAUCUUGUUCAUUUCUCAUUUCGAAAUACUUCUUCGGGGAUAUCAAAUGAAAAUUCAAAAUAUUUUCUUUGGUUUAUUCUUUAGAUUUCCUCCUAAAAAAGCAAUCAAAAAAUAUUUUUCUCUUCUAGUUAUUUUUUCCGUAAUAAUUUCCCAUAAAGUAUUUGUCUCAAAAAAAAAAAAGGAAAAUCAAAUAUAUUCUCGUUAAGCUUGAGUUUGGAAUAGGUUAUAGAACAUUAAGUCUAGAAAAUUCAAAAAAAGGGAAUUUGCUUCUUUUAUUUCUCUUUUCUCAUCAGAGUAGUCAUUAAGGUAAAAAGGAAAAAAAAAUAAGAAAAAGGGAAUGUUAGUUUGUUUGCUUUAUUUCCGAUCUUCCCGAACUACACAAAGAUCUGAUUCAUGCGGCGUCAUGAUACGUAGGCAACCUACAUAGGGUUCGAUCGAAUCAUUUUUUUAUUUUAUUAAAAUAAAAAGGAAAAAAAAGGAAACAAACAAAAGAAAAAAAGAAGAAAAAAAAAAGAUGAAAUUGUGGGACGUGAGAAAUGAGAGGAAAGAAAAGAGUGAUAAUUAGAAAGAAAAAAAGGGAAAGAAAAUGAGCAAGCCAAGAAGUACUAGAAAAGAAAAGAAAAGAGGAGAUUGAAAUGAACAAAAUUGGGAUGAUGCCAAGUGACCUUGUGACCCUGGAAGUUAUUCUAGAACCGUUAAUUGUUGCUAGGUGCAUUGCACACAAUGUGAUAUUUGCAGCUGUUAAAUGCCCCUAACACUAACGUAAUGACCUCAUUUUGUUCCUUUUUGUUAUCUCAAAUUGAGCAGAAGGGUUGUUAGUUUGUGGUUCUUAAGGUAACUCAUCCAUACAACACAAGGUCAAAGAGCAAGGUAGUCAUGACUGGCAAAGAGUUAGACACAAGAGUUGUUGACCCAUCGAGGGAGUUUGUGAAAUCGGAGUCUGAAUUGAAAGAGGAGGUCCAAAGGGUAAAAAGCAGAUGGCAGAAAUGUAUCAGUCUUGGGUCAGGGGGCAUCCUCCACCUUCAUUCCCCACUAAAUUGAGAUUUCACCCCUAGGAGACGUACUUCCUAGUUUGAGUCAUUUAUGUUCGGCUCUAGGAGACGCACUUCCUAGUCGGGUUCAUUGACGUUUUACCUGUAGGAGACACACUUCCUAAUAAAGGUCUUUCAAGUUAUUCUUUUAGGAGAUGUACUUCCUAAAUUGAGAGUUCAUUCAUAGGAGACGCACUUCCUAGCUUGGUUCAUUCAAGUUUCACCCCUAGGAGACGUACUUCCUAGUUUGGUUCAUUCAGGAUUAAUUUUUAGCAGACGCAUUUGCUAGUCAAAGUUUUUUUGUUUUACUCAUAGGAGACGCAUAUCCUAAUCAAGUCUUUAGUUUACUCUCUUCAUUGCAUCAAUAGUAUAAGUGGUUUACAAUAUUGCUAACAACUCACAAAUCUUCCUAGUGCAAUCUGGGGCAGAAAAUUUUAUUUGUUUUGAUUGUAGGCACUCACAUGGAAAACAAGAGAACACAGAAAGUUUCAGCAAUCAGGCGACCACCUGGAGAAAAAGGGAAGACAAUUCAAGUUUCAAGGGAAAAUAGUUCAAGUUUCAAGGGAAAGCAGUUCCGAGGGAACACAGAAAGUUUCAGCAAUCAGGUGCCCACCUGGAGAACAAGGGAAGACAGUUCAAGUUUCAAGGGAAGACAGUUCAAGUUUCAAGGGAAAGCAGUUCCAAAGGAAGAUAGUUCAAGUUCAGCAAUCAGGCGCCCACCUGGAGAACAAGGGAAGACAAUUCAAAUUUCAAAGGAAAGCAGUUUCGAAGGAGGACAGUUCAAGUUUAGCAAUCAGACGCCCACCUGGAGAACAAAGAAAAACGGUUCACAUUUCGAAGGAAGACAGUUCAAUUUUUGGAAAUAAGGCACCCAUCUGGAAAACAAGGGAAUUCACUUCAGAAUGCAAUUCAAGUCAGCAACAAAAGAAGCUCGCGGCAAGAAUGCGAGUCAACAGUCAGAGAUGAUCAACGGAAGUUAGUCACAAUCCAGAAUAAAAAAAAAGAAACGCAAGAAGUGAAUCCAAAUGCAGAAGUUGAUGAAAGAUGUGAGUUGCUCAAGACAUGACUGAAGUCAUAAGCAUGGUAUGUCCGGUUUUGAUCCGAAAAGCUGAAGAAGAAUGAACUAGCACCUGCAACUAGCAAGCGUCAAGGUUCAAAUUCAAAGUCUGCAUGACGAACCAUUCAAGACUCAAAAUCAAGCUUCAGAAGACUUAUAGAUAUGAAUCUUGUAACUUACAGUUGACAGGCUUAGUUAGUCUUUUUUAUUUUUUUAUUUUGAUGUAAUAACAGGAUCGUGGACCGGAACCUCGACGGAGUGACACCUCGAUCGGCUCUCCACCUAGGUAUACUCCAUCAUCUCACUCACUUCUGAACUACACGUGUCCUGAUUCCUUUAUAGCCAAGGAUAUGGAGGCAGCUCAGAUACCAGGGCUUGGUCACAUUCUCCUUUCUUUUAGCUUUUGGUCUCACUAAAUAAGGGUCGGGUCAAAAAAACAUGUCUAGUCGUUCUUUGCCUGAAAUCUCUUCGCGUUCCCAGUCAAGGAGGGGCAGUUGUAGACAUGUGAUUUUUGACCUUCCCCAAGAUUUUUUAUAUUUUAGCAUGUAAAUAUUUAGUUUAGGCUUAAUAUCUUUAUUUCAACUAAUUUUGACUCUUUUACUUUAUUUCGUCACAAAAAAUAAAAAUUACAAAAAUAUUUUAGUUUACGUAUCUUUCAUAAAUUUUAAAAAAAAUAUAUACAAAAAUAGUACCUUAUUUUUAUUAUUAUAUAAUCUUGAAAACACAAAAAUAGUUUCAUGUUUAAUAUAGUUUAGUUCAAUUAAUUAAGAUUAGUUUUAUAUUUUUAUAUUAUAAAUUGUAUAUUUAGAAGGAAGAAUGAGUUUUGGGUUAGUUUAUUCCAUUUUAAUCUCGUAUUCCAUUUUUUUAGUCUUUGGCCCAAUUUUAAGGCUCAAUAAUACCAAGCUCAAUACCCCUAAAACCCUAGGAAGACACUUAAAAAUGACCCCUAAACCUAAGACUAAAGGAGCUGAAAAUACACACAAAUAUAUACCCUAAGAUAUAACCUAGACCUAUAGACACCCUUAAAAUCCGCCGUUACACCCCAUCAGAUUGGAGGUCCAUCAUUUUCUUCAGCCAUUCAACACACAUAAAUGACCAUCGUCACUCUGAAUCUCUAACCUAAAGAAAGCCGCCAAGGACCUGUGCCUUUUCUCCACCCUUAGAGCACCCUUCACCAACACGACAACAACCGCCACAGCUGCUAACCCCAACUCCAUCUCCAGUCAGUCGCAACACCAACCAGCACACCACAAAUAGCUGUUCAUCUCCUUCAACCCCUGAAUACACUUAGACCUAAGAGAAGACAUUCGUUUCUAUCAUCUUCUCCAUGAAGACCAACCACAAAACCAGCUGUUGCUCCACGACCUCACACCAAACGACCCUCAUCUCUUAACUCACUCUCAACUGGAUCAAAUGCCGAUCUCCAUCCCUUCCAAUGACCCUUCCUCUCUAAAACACAAUAGAACCACAAGUCCACCAGGAACCAGCCAGCUAUUCUUCUCGGAAAAAAAACCACGCACACACACGCAAAACAGUUUUAAGCUGAGGUUGGUUUGAGGUCUUCACCGUCCAUUCGAGGUUCCGUCGCCGGUUCGGAGUUCCGAUCAGUGGCCUUCUGUUCUUGGUUUGUAUUUUUGUUCGUGGUUCGUCCGGUCCGCGUUUUAAAUUUCAAAAGUCGGAACAGAAGGUAAUUGGUUGAUUUGAUCUGGAUCUUGGAUCUAAUAUUAUCGUUUCUUUGCUCAGGAUGCCUUAGCAGUAUUUGGUUUCUGUGUUUUGUUCUUUUGUUAUUAUUGGUCUGUUUUUGCUCAAUUUAUAUUAAGAUGGAAUUGUGGUUGAUUUGUGUUUUAAUAUAGGAUUCUGGUUGAUUUGCGUUUCAAUAUGGAAUUUUGGCUGAUUUGUGUCGGCCUAACUAUGUGCAUACGACGUUGCUUCCGUGAAUUAGUGUAUCAAGUGUUUACUGAUGUUUUAUUUAUUAAACAGACAAAUAUGCUGGAUGAUCGAUGAACAUGGGCUUGAAGUAAAACAUAGGUCGUUAGUGUUCUAAAUCUCUUGUUUAGGUAGAUCAUUUUAUUUUGAAUUCAUGCUCCCGUUAAUAUCAUAUAGUUGCCCUCUUUUAUUAACCCAGAAAUAAUUUUAUAGUAUUCACAAACAUGUUAGUAUACUUUAGGUGUAUUUCGAAUUUUUUAUCGCGAUUAUGUACACGUUCGAGUGACAUGAUUACGACUUCUAAAAAUGAAUAUCUGCAGCUUUGCUUUAGGCGCU